rnacentral:misc_RNA from 1 species
GAUUGCCGUUGUAGUUUCCGGUUGUGUAUUCUGAAUUCGGGUGACUUGUUCAUAAUAAAGGCAAUUCUAAAGUUUCAGCAGUGUUUCAUAUAACUUAAAACAAUGCACACAAAUAAAGCUAUUUACAAUCAAAGGACAUCUGCGUCCUUCCACUAAGCAUGAGGAGCUUCACAGUUGAUACAUCUUGAUGUCAAAUUUUGGCUUCAAUAACAUACCUACUUGUAGUCUUCAAAACGUUCCCCAUAAUUGCCCUCGAAAAAGGGGGCAUAAUAAACACCUUCCAACUCCUCUGAUACCAAAUAGUAAACUCUAAAAUUACAAAACUGGUAGAUUGUCCCAAGUUUUGAGGGAGGGUGAGAGAGAGAGAGAGAGAGAGAGAGAGCACUGACUAGUAAGUGGGACUAGUAAGUGGGGGUUUCUAAUUCUUUCCAGCACAAAAAAUGAUUUGAAUCAAUCAAGUAUACAGAAGACCCAAUAAAGAGAGGGUUGUAGGCUGACCUGAUACACUGAAAUUAUUCCGAAGCUUUGUAGAGAAGUUCAUACGGUGAUUGCUACUGAAGCUUAUUUGAGAUAAUAGAUGGAUGGUAUGAGCAUAAAGACAAUCAGUCCUAGUAUGAGCUUAAACCAGAUUGGAUGAUAGAACUUUCCAUGGAGCAAUGAAAUCACAUGCACUAGUUAAUGAAUGAUAAAUUUUAGCGUUUUACUUCAACUUGAUCGACGAACCUCACCAACUUGUCUUGUACUUGAAUGUUGCAACUCAGAAAGUGAAACAGACCCAGUCUGGGAGAAAAUCAACCCAACUGAACUGCUUGAUGUGUUUCCAGAGGAAGGAAUUCUGCUCAAAUAAGGAUCCUUUUUCGUCACUCCAAUCAGUUCAGGUAGCAAUUCAGAAGAAGAGGAUGAAGGGGCCAAAGUAGCAAGCAAAGACCCAACUGGA